rnacentral:rRNA from 1 species
ACCAAGGGUUCCUGUCCAACGUUAAUCGGGGCAGGGUGAGUCGACCCCUAAGGCGAGGCCGAAAGGCGUAGUCGAUGGGAAACGGGUUAAUAUUCCCGUACUUGGUGUUACUGCGAAGGGGGGACGGAGAAGGCUAUGUUGGCCGGGCGACGGUUGUCCCGGUUUAAGCGUGUAGGUGUGUGUUCCAGGUAAAUCCGGUUCACUUUAACACUGAGGCGUGACGACGAGGCACUACGGUGCUGAAGCAACAAAUGCCCUGCUUCCAGGAAAAGCCUCUAAGCAUCAGGUAACAUCAAAUCGUACCCCAAACCGACACAGGUGGUCAGGUAGAGAAUACCAAGGCGCUUGAGAGAACUCGGGUGAAGGAACUAGGCAAAAUGGUGCCGUAACUUCGGGAGAAGGCACGCUGACACGUAGGUGAAGUGAUUUACUCAUGGAGCUGAAGUCAGUCGAAGAUACCAGCUGGCUGCAACUGUUUAUUAAAAACACAGCACUGUGCAAACACGAAAGUGGACGUAUACGGUGUGACGCCUGCCCGGUGCCGGAAGGUUAAUUGAUGGGGUCAGCGCAAGCGAAGCUCCUGAUCGAAGCCCCGGUAAACGGCGGCCGUAACUAUAACGGUCCUAAGGUAGCGAAAUUCCUUGUCGGGUAAGUUCCGACCUGCACGAAUGGCGUAAUGAUGGCCAGGCUGUCUCCACCCGAGACUCAGUGAAAUUGAACUCGCUGUGAAGAUGCAGUGUACCCGCGGCAAGACGGAAAGACCCCGUGAACCUUUACUAUAGCUUGACACUGAACAUUGAGCCUUGAUGUGUAGGAUAGGUGGGAGGCUUUGAAGUGUGGACGCCAGUCUGCAUGGAGCCGACCUUGAAAUACCACCCUUUAAUGUUUGAUGUUCUAACGUGGACCCGUUACCCGGGUUGCGGACAGUGUCUGGUGGGUAGUUUGACUGGGGCGGUCUCCUCCUAAAGAGUAACGGAGGAGCACGAAGGUUGGCUAAUCCUGGUCGGACAUCAGGAGGUUAGUGCAAUGGCAUAAGCCAGCUUGACUGCGAGCGUGACGGCGCGAGCAGGUGCGAAAGCAGGUCAUAGUGAUCCGGUGGUUCUGAAUGGAAGGGCCAUCGCUCAACGGAUAAAAGGUACUCCGGGGAUAACAGGCUGAUACCGCCCAAGAGUUCAUAUCGACGGCGGUGUUUGGCACCUCGAUGUCGGCUCAUCACAUCCUGGGGCUGAAGUAGGUCCCAAGGGUAUGGCUGUUCGCCAUUUAAAGUGGUACGCGAGCUGGGUUUAGAACGUCGUGAGACAGUUCGGUCCCUAUCUGCCGUGGGCGCUGGAGAACUGAGGGGGGCUGCUCCUAGUACGAGAGGACCGGAGUGGACGCAUCACUGGUGUUCGGGUUGUCAUGCCAAUGGCACUGCCCGGUAGCUAAAUGCGGAAGAGAUAAGUGCUGAAAGCAUCUAAGCACGAAACUUGCCCCGAGAUGAGUUCUCCCUGAGACUUUAGGUCUCCUGAAGGAACGUUGAAGACGACGACGUUGAUAGGCCGGGUGUGUAAGCG